rnacentral:lncRNA from 1 species
CCCCCUCCUCUUUCUCCUCACCCAUGUCUCUUCCUCCAUGGCGCCUCCCUCCAUCUCCAUCCAUCUCUCCACCUCCUUUCCUUUCUCCUCAUUCUCCUCCUCCUUAUUCUCCUCCUCCAAGCCGCCCAUAAGUCACUCCCUUUAUGGUGGCCCCUCCACCUCCAUCCUUUUUCGCCAGCAACCCAUCUUCCCUCUCACCAUCCUCCUCAUUCUUUUCUUCUCUUUGUCUUCAUUUUCGUCCUCUAACCCAUUCG